UGUUAAAAAUUUCAUCCAUUUGUACUGUUAAAAACUGGUAUAGUUGAUAGAAUAACCAAACAGUGGCAAGUGUCAUGCCACGUGUACCUCAUACUGAUGUACAAGGACAGUUUUUAAUAAUAGAAAUGGAUGAAAAUUUUAAUA
rnacentral:pre_miRNA from 1 species